UGGGGGAAUAUUGGGCAAUGGGCGAAAGCCUGACCCAGCAACGCCGCGUGAAGGAAGAAGGUUUUCGGAUUGUAAACUUCUUUUAUCAGGGACGAAGAAAGUGACGGUACCUGAUGAAUAAGCCACGGCUAACUACGUGCCAGCAGCCGCGGUAAUACGUAGGUGGCAAGCGUUAUCCGGAUUUACUGGGUGUAAAGGGCGCGUAGGCGGGGAUGCAAGUCAGAUGUGAAAUCUAUGGGCUUAACCCAUAAACUGCAUUUGAAACUGCAUAGCUUGAGUGAAGUAGAGGCAGGCGGAAUUCCCCGUGUAGCGGUGAAAUGCGUAGAGAUGGGGAGGAACACCAGUGGCGAAGGCGGCCUGCUGGGCUUUAACUGACGCUGUGGCACG
rnacentral:rRNA from 1 species